AUUACCCAAUCCUGACACAGGGAGGUAGUGACAAGAAAUAACAAUACGGGGCUUAAUGUCUUGUAAUUGGAAUGAUGGGAAUUUAAACCUCUUCCAGAGUAUCAAUUGGAGGGCAAGUCUGGUGCCAGCAGCCGCGGUAAUUCCAGCUCCAAUAGCGUAUAUUAAAAUUGUUGCAGUUAAAAAGCUCGUAGUUGAAUUUCUGCUGCAUCGUCGCAUCUCUUGCUGAGUGCUUCGUUUCGGCUUAUUUCGGAUUGAUUUUUCUUUCCGGAUGAUUACUUUGAGAAAAUUAGAGUGCUCAAAGCAGGCUUUUGCCUUGAAUAGUUUAGCAUGGAAUAAUAAAGUAGGACUUUGGUUCUAUUUUGUUGGUUUUAGGUACCAAAGUAAUGGUUAAUAGGAACAGUUGGGGGCAUUCGUAUUUAA
rnacentral:rRNA from 1 species